rfam:Canis lupus familiaris chromosome 29, whole genome shotgun sequence.
GUUCACUUUGGCAGCACAUAUCCUAAAAUUGGAUCAAUAGAGAGAUUAACAUGUCCCCUGUGCAAGAGUGAUAUGGAAAUUAGUGAAGCAUUCCAUAAUUAA